rnacentral:rRNA from 1 species
UACGUAGGGUGCGAGCGUUAAUCGGAAUUACUGGGCGUAAAGGGCGCGUAGGCGGCCUUCUAAGUCGAACGUGAAAUCCCCGGGCUCAACCCGGGAACUGCGUCCGAUACUGGAAGGCUUGAAUCCGGGAGAGGGAUGCGGAAUUCCAGGUGUAGCGGUGAAAUGCGUAGAUAUCUGGAGGAACACCGGUGGCGAAGGCGGCAUCCUGGACCGGCAUUGACGCUGAGGCGCGAAAGCCAGGGGAGUAAACGGG